UACGUAGGGGGCUAGCGUUGUCCGGAAUCAUUGGGCGUAAAGCGCGCGUAGGCGGCCCGGUAAGUCCGCUGUAAAGGUCAAAGGCUCAACCUUUGAAUGUCAGUGGAUACUGCCGGGCUAGAGUCCGGAAGAGGCGAGUGGAACUCCUGGUGUAGCGGUGGAAUGCGCAGAUAUCAGGAAGAACACCGACGGCGAAGGCAGCUCGCUGGGACGGUACUGACGCUGAGGCGCGAAAGCGUGGGGAGCGAACAGG
rnacentral:rRNA from 1 species